CAGGGAUGUGGCAUGGAGGAGCGGCUGGACCUACCCCUCCACCCACGGCCCUGGAGGAGCCACUGGUCUCCCGUGGCCCAGCCUCAGCACAGCCUGCCCCCCUGCUGGGAUCAGCCCAGCCUAGCCUCAUCCCAAAGUCCCCCUGCCUUUCCCCCGGCAGCGGCAGCGCCACCCCCACUCCCCUUUCCACUUCCCUCCUCUGCCCCCCUCCCCCUCCCUGCUGGCUGUUGUCAGUGUGCUGCGGCAUGGCAGCUCCCUGGUCCCCAACCACCUCUAUCUGCUGCACUGAGCAGCGAUGCAGAGUUGUGCUCAGGCCAGCCAAUUGCUGCCUGCCCUCUUGGCCAUGCAUGUGCAGUUGGCCCAGAGCAUUAUGGGCAGACAGACUGACUAAGGCUUUUAUUUUAUAUAUAUAUAUAUAUAUAUAGUACCUCAUGUAUAUUUAUGUUUGGGUUUUUUUGCUACUGUUCAGCUUUGUGUUUCCUUACGUUCAAUUUAUCUCAACUAUAAUUUUACAGGCCCAUCUACUCCCUAAUGUGGAUUUUUCCUGUGAUACUGAAAGAGCAGCAAAGGGAGAGCUCAUGGACUCUGAGAAGAAUCCCAAUAUGAUAGAUUUCAACUCUUCCUCUUAAAAAAAUAUUUUUUUUCAAAUAUCCCAAUCUAGCAAACCCCCCCCAGUUUGUUUGUUUUUUAUUGUUAAAAUGCAUUCCCUCCCCUUCCCCAACCAUUUCUAACUUUCUCUCUGCCCUCUCUAUCCCUUUAUAAGUGAUUUUAAGUAGUCCUAGGUAAGCUAAGCUAAGGCCUUGUAUACUAUUAUUGUAAUAAGCCCCUUUUUAUAAAUUGUAAAUAGUGUUCUGUUAUGUUUGUAUUGAUUUUUACUGUUUUAUAUUGUAUUAUAUUGUAUUCCUAUAAUUUGUGCAUUGGGUGUUAUUGUUUCAUAUUAAUAUUGUAUGGUUUAGGCCUGUGUCUAUGAAGUGAUGCCAAGUAUUCAUUCCCAUCUUGUCCCCAUACCCUAGUGUGUAAGUAUGUUGCACUUCUGUAACCUUUCCCAUGUAAAUUGGUUUUCCUUGAAUGCCUGAAACAAAAGAGUGAAUGGAUGAGUGAAACACAAUGAUAGCAGGACCCCCUCCUACAUCACCCCACCAUCAAAACCAAUACCUGGACCAAUGACCCAGCCCUUGGAACCACCCUCCGCAUUCGAGACACAAACGACGAGGCAGACACCAUUGUGCCAAGGCUGCACAUGCGCAGUAUGAACACCUGGAACCCUCUGGAACAGGACUGACCUUGCCUGGACAGGUCCUCCCCAGAGGAGAUCAGAGGUAGUCUGCCCCAUAAAAAAGGAUAGUGAAGACUGACCAUUUGGGAUGCCAUCUUCACCUGGACCAGACCUGCUCCACGUCAUGCUGCCUAUCAACCCAGAGGCCCUGCCGGUGACCUCCUCUAGACAACACCUGCUGGAGAAAGACCCCAGCUGGCCAUCGAGGACCCCCUCCCAGCCUGGAUAGGUAGCUAUCACCCCCACCCUUUCUUCAAACAAGGUUUUGGACUACGUUUCUCUUCCCUACCUGGACUCCAGCCCUUCCAUUGAGUCGCUUUCUCCUGCUGCCAUUGUGUGAGUGUGUGUGGGAGUGCUUGCAUGAGUGUGUGUGGGAACCAAGCUGUACAGUACAGUGUUCAUUUAAUAAAACUGUUAUUUGGA